ACCCGACUGCUAUCAGAGUGGGACUAAGCCAUGCGAGUCGACAUAGCAAUAUGUGGCAUACGGCUCAGUAACACGUAGUCAACAUGCCCAGGGGACGUGGAUAACCUCGGGAAACUGAGGAUAAACCGCGAUAGGUCAUCACUUCUGGAAUGGGUAAUGACUUAAACCUAUAUGGCCCCUGGAUUGGACUGCGGCCGAUCAGGCUGUUGGUGAGGUAAUGGCCCACCAAACCUGUAACCGGUACGGGCUCUGAGAGGAGGAGCCCGGAGAUGGGCACUGAGACAAGGGCCCAGGCCCUAUGGGGCGCAGCAGGCGCGAAACCUCUGCAAUAGGCGAAAGCUUGACAGGGUUACUCUGAGUGAUUUCCGUUAAGGAGAUCUUUUGGCACCUCUAAAAAUGGUGCAGAAUAAGGGGUGGGCAAGUCUGGUGUCAGCCGCCGCGGUAAUACCAGCACCCCGAGUGGUCGGGACGUUUAUUGGGCCUAAAGCAUCCGUAGCCGGUUCUACAAGUCUUCCGUUAAAUCCACCUGCUUAACAGAUGGGCUGCGGAAGAUACUAUAGAGCUAGGAGGCGGGAGAGGCAAGCGGUACUCGAUGGGUAGGGGUAAAAUCCGUUGAUCCAUUGAAGACCACCAGUGGCGAAGGCGGCUUGCCAGAACGCGCUCGACGGUGAGGGAUGAAAGCUGGGGGAGCAAACCGGAUUAGAUACCCGGGUAGUCCCAGCUGUAAACGAUGCAGACUCGGUGAUGAAUUGGCUUAUUGCUAAUUCAGUGCCGCAGGGAAGCCGUUAAGUUUGCCGCCUGGGGGGUACGGUCGCAAGACUGAAACUUAAAGGAAUUGGCGGGGGAGCACCACAAGGGGUGAAGCCUGCGGUUCAAUUGGAGUCAACGCCGGAAAUCUUACCGGGGGCGACAGCAGAGUGAAGGUCAAGCUGAAGACUUUACCAGACAAGCUGAGAGGAGGUGCAUGGCCGUCGCCAGCUCGUGCCGUGAGGUGUCCUGUUAAGUCAGGUAACGAGCGAGAUCCCUGCCUCUAGUUGCUACCAUUAUUCUCAGGAGUAGUGGAGCUAAUUAGAGGGACCGCCGUCGCUGAGACGGAGGAAGGUGGGGGCUACGGCAGGUCAGUAUGCCCCGAAACCCUCGGGCCACACGCGGGCUGCAAUGGUAAGGACAAUGAGUUUCGAUUCCGAAAGGAGGAGGCAAUCUCUAAACCUUACCACAGUUAUGAUUGAGGGCUGAAACUCGCCCUCAUGAAUAUGGAAUCCCUAGUAACCGCGUGUCACUAUCGCGCGGUGAAUACGUCCCUGCUCC
rnacentral:rRNA from 1 species